AUUGAACGCUGGCGGCAUGCUUUACACAUGCAAGUCGAACGGUAACAGGCCGCAAGGUGCUGACGAGUGGCGAACGGGUGAGUAAUGCAUCGGAACGUGCCCAGACGUGGGGGAUAACUACUCGAAAGAGUAGCUAAUACCGCAUACGAUCUAUGGCUGAAAGCGGGGGACAGUAAGGCCUCGCGCGAUUGGAGCGGACGAUGUCAGAUUAGGUAGUUGGUGGGGUAAAGGCUCACCAAGCCAACGAUCUGUAGCUGGUCUGAGAGGACGACCAGCCACACUGGGACUGAGACACGGCCCAGACUCCUACGGGAGGCAGCAGUGGGGAAUUUUGGACAAAGGGCGCAAGCCUGAUCCAGCAAUGCCGCGUGCAGGAAGAAGGCCUUCGGGUUGUAAACUGCUUUUGUACGGAACGAAACGGCUCUGGUUAAUACCCGGGGCUAAUGACGGUACCGUAAGAAUAAGCACCGGCUAACUACGUG
rnacentral:rRNA from 1 species